CCUACGGGAGGCAGCAGUGAGGAAUAUUGGUCAAUGGCCGUAAGGCUGAACCAGCCAAGUCGCGUGAGGGAAGAAGGACCUACGGUUUGUAAACCUCUUUUAUAGGGGAAUAAAGGUAUCCACGUGUGGAUAUUUGCAUGUACCCUAUGAAUAAGCAUCGGCUAACUCCGUGCCAGCAGCCGCGGUAAUACGGAGGAUGCGAGCGUUAUCCGGAUUUUUUGGGGUUAAAGGGUGCGGAGGUGGGUUUUUAAGGCAGCGGGGCAAGUGUUGGGCACAACCAUAAUAUUGCCGUUGAAACUGGAUGACUUGAGUGUGUUAGAGGUAGGCGGAAUGCGUGGUGUAGCGGUGAAAUGCAUAGAUAUCACGCAGAACUCCGAUUGCGAAGGCAGCUUACUGGGCCGUAACUGACGCUGAAGCACGAAAGCGUGGGGAUCGAACAGGAUUAGAUACCCCGGUAGUC
rnacentral:rRNA from 1 species